UACGGGGGGGAGCAAGCGUUGUUCGGAUUUACUGGGCGUAAAGAGUGCGUAGGCGGUGUUCCAAGUCUGUUGUGAAAUCUCCCGGCUUAACUGGGAGGGUGCGGCGGAAACUGGAAUGCUGGAGUGUGGGAGAGGUAAGCGGAAUUCCUGGUGUAGCGGUGAAAUGCGCAGAUAUCAGGAAGAACACCCGUGGCGAAAGCGGUUCUCUGGGCCUUACCUGACGCUGAGGAGCGAAAGCGUGGGGAGCGAACAGG
rnacentral:rRNA from 1 species